UACAGAGGGGGCAAGCGUUUGUUCGGAAUUACUGGGCGUAAAGGGCGCGUAGGCGGCCUUCUAAGUCGAAACGUGAAAUCCCCGGGCUCAACCCGGGAACUGCGUCCGAUACUGGAAGGCUUGAAUCCGGGAGAGGGAUGCGGAAUUCCAGGUGUAGCGGUGAAAUGCGCAGAUAUCAGGAGGAACACCGGUUGGCGAAGGCGGGUCUCUGGGCGAGUGAACUGACGCUGGAGGAGCGAAAUGCGUGGGGAGCGAACAGG
rnacentral:rRNA from 1 species